AUACGUAGGUGACAAGCGUUAUCCGGAUUUACUGGGCGUAAAGGGCGUGUAGGCGGUCUUGCAAGUCAGAAGUGAAAUUCCUGAGCUCAACUCGGGCGCUGCUUCUGAAACUGCAGGACUUGAGUGCUGGAGGGGAUAGCGGAAUUCCUAGUGGAGCGGUAAAAUGCGCAGAUAUUAGGAAGAACACCGGUGGCGAAGGCGGCUAUCUGGACAGUAACUGACGCUGAGGCGCGAAAGCGUGGGGAGCAAACAGGAUUAGAUACCCUGGUAGUCCACACUGUAAACGAUGAAUGCUAGGUGUAGGGGGUAUCGACCCCUUCUGUGCCGCAGUCAACACAAUAAGCAUUCCGCCUGGGGAGUACGGCCGCAAGGUUGAAACUUAAAUGAAUUGGCGGGG
rnacentral:rRNA from 1 species